rnacentral:piRNA from 1 species
UAGCUAAUAUGGUCCAAAGAAACAGU